GGGACAGGGACAGAGUUGGUUUUAUUUUUAUUUUACCAUUUUUCACGUGUUUCUCCCCACAGCCCCUCACGCCCAGAGCAGCCAGCCGAGCUGCAGGGAGGAAGCAGAGCCCGGUGCUGCCCCCACAGCCUGGCAGCUCCAUCCCCAGGCAGAGCUCCAUCCUCAGCUUCUUCAGCCCCCGGCCAGAUGAAGGAGACAAAGAGAACAAAGAGAACAAAGAGAACCGCAGGCCCGGCCCCCGGGAGGGCUCGGGGGCUGCUCCGCCUGCCUGGCCCGUGAAGAUCCUGCCCUUGCCACAGCUGGAGGAGCCCCCUGGGGCUGAGCAGGGGCUGCAGGGCACAGCCCAGGCAGGGCAAAGAGCUCCGGAGCCCCUGGAGCUGAGCGUGGAGCCUCAGAGGCAGAGCAGAGCCUCCCCUGGGGCUGGGGGAGCCUCCUGGUGCUGGGGCAGGGACAAACCCUGGGAGUCUCCUGGGGGAAGGGGCUCGGGGGGCGGGAGAGCACAGCCCUGCAGCAGAGCUGGGGCUGGGGACACAAAGCCCGGGCCAGGGGCUGCUCCCCAGGGGGGGUUUGCUGCCCUCCCCAGAGCCCGGGGCCAGCCCAGCCCCUGCGGGAGCGGGGCCAGGUCCCAGAGGGGCCCUGCAGGGAAAUCCAGGGCUGCCAGGGGAGCAGGGCCACUGCCCACGGGGACAGGGAGAGGGCCAGCCCCCCAGGGCCACCCCCAGCUCACCCAGGGCCACCCCAGCCCACCCAGGGUCACCUCCAGCCCACCCAGGGCCAGCCCCAGUCCCCCCAGGGUCACCCCCAGCUCACCCAGGGUCACCCCCAGCCCCCCCAGGGCCAGGCAGCCCCCCGAGCUGGGCUCUGAGCCCCUGUUCACACAGGACUCAGAAGGGAACAGGGUCAUCAAGCACUGGUGAGUGACCCAGGCUGGCUCUGGCAGCACUGGGGGCCUCACAGAGGGGAGGGAACCCCUUGGUGCAGCCCCCAGCCCCUCUCUGCUCCCUGAGAUGCUGCUUUAAUCCAAAUUAAAGGUUGGAGUUUGUUUUCUGAGGGUUUGGCUGUGUCCUUGCUCCUUCUCCAUCUCCACAAAAGCCCCAAACCCUGGGGCAGAGGGGCCCUGUGGGGACAGGACAGGGACCAAGCACCCAGGGGCUCUGGGCUGCCCCAGCAGGGGAG
rnacentral:lncRNA from 1 species